GCACAACGCGAAGAACCUUACCACCUUUUGACAUGCCUGGACCGCCACAGAGAUGUGGCUUUCCCUUCGGGGACUGGGACACAGGUGCUGCAUGGCUGUCGUCAGCUCGUGCCGUGAGAUGUUGGGUUAAGCCCCGCAACGAGCGCAACCCUCGCUGUUAGUUGCCACCAUUCAGUUAGGCACUCUAACAGGACUGCCGGAGUUAAUCCGGAGGAAGGCGGGGAUGACGUCAAGUCCUCAUGGCCCUUACAAGGUGGGCUACACACGUGCUACAAUGGCGACUACAGAGGGUUGCAAUCCCGCGAGGGGGAGCCAAUCCCUAAAAGUCGUCUCAGUUCGGAUUGUUCUCUGCAACUCGAGAGCAUGAAGUUGGAAUCGCUAGUAAUCGCGGAUCAGCAUGCCGCGGUGAAUACGUU
rnacentral:rRNA from 1 species